rnacentral:rRNA from 1 species
GACGGAGGAUGCAAGUGUUAUCCGGAAUCACUGGGCGUAAAGCGUCUGUAGGUGGUUCGAAAAGUCCACUGUUAAAAAUUGAGGCUUAACUUCAAAGAUGCCGUGGAAACUUUCAAACUAGAGUAUGGUAGGGGUAGAGGGAAUUUCCAGUGGAGCGGUGAAAUGCGUAGAUAUUGGAAAGAACACCGAUGGCGAAGGCACUUUACUGGGCUAUUACUAACACUCAGAGACGAAAGCUAGGGUAGCAAAUGGG